rnacentral:rRNA from 1 species
GACGUAGGGGGCGAGCGUUGUCCGGAUUCAUUGGGCGUAAAGAGCGCGCAGGCGGCUUGGUAAGUCGGAUGUGAAAACCCGAGGCUCAACCUCGGACGUGCAUCCGAUACUGCUCGGCUAGAGGUAGGUAGGGGAGAUCGGAAUUCCUGGUGUAGUGGUGAAAUGCGUAGAUAUCGGGAGGAACACCAGUGGCGAAGGCGACUUCCUGGCCUGUUCUUGACGCUGAGGCGCGAAAGCUAGGGGAGCAAACGGG